CUCAACCUGGGAAUGGCAAUGGAUACUGGAUAGCUAGAGUGUGAUAGAGGAUGGUGGAAUUCCCGGUGUAGCGGUGAAAUGCGUAGAGAUCGGGAGGAACAUCAGUGGCGAAGGCGGCCAUCUGGAUCAACACUGACGCUGAGGCACGAAAGCGUGGGGAGCAAACAGGAUUAGAUACCCUGGUAGUCCACGCCCUAAACGAUGCGAACUGGAUGUUGGUCUCAACUCGGAGAUCAGUGUCGAAGCUAACGCGUUAAGUUCGCCGCCUGGGGAGUACGGUCGCAAGACUGAAACUCAAAGGAAUUGACGGGGGCCCGCACAAGCGGUGGAGUAUGUGGUUUAAUUCGAUGCAACGCGAAGAACCUUACCUGGCCUUGACAUGUCUGGAAUCCUC
rnacentral:rRNA from 1 species